GAUGAACGCUGGCGGUAUGCUUAACACAUGCAAGUCGAACGGUCACUUCGGUGAUAGUGGCGGACGGGUGAGUAACGCGUGAGAAUCUGUCUUCAGGUCGGGGACAACAGUUAGAAAUGACUGCUAAUACCGGAUGUGCCUUUGGGUGAAAGAUUUAUUGCCUGAAAAAGAGCUCGCGUCAGAUUAGCUAGUAGGUGGUGUAAGAGACUACCUAGGCUCCGAUCUGUAGCUGGUCUGAGAGGACGAUCAGCCACACUGGAGCUGAGACACGGUCCAGACUCCUACGGGAGGCAGCAGUGGGGAAUUUUCCGCAAUGGGCGAAAGCCUGACGGAGCAAUACCGCGUGAGGGACGAAGGCUUUUGGGUCGUAAACCUCUUUUCUCAAGGAAGAUGAUGACGGUACUUGAGGAAUAAGCAUCGGCUAACUCUGUG
rnacentral:rRNA from 1 species